AGGAAAGCUGAGUUUCGAAAAAAUGCAGCUCGACUGAGACUGUGGUGUGGCUGGAUUUUCACAAAGCAGUAUUUAUAAUCAGGCAGAAAAUCAUGGAGAAACAGCUAAAGAUCAAGUUGCCACUUAAAUUCCUAGCAGCUACACCUGGCCAUGAGAACUGGUGAGCUUUUGGAGACACACAUCAUAAAGUGUGGGCCAGGUUGGGUGCUUCUCUGAUUAAUAUCAUGGCAGGGUUUUGGAACUCUUCAUUUCCUUCAUGCUGAAUCACCAGGGCGUCCCACAUGGCUGUCCCAACUCCAUCAAGCUGGAGUCCGAGAGGUGGCAGGCAGGGGCUUAGGAACACGCAAGACAGCCGCACUCUAAGUGUCUCUCCACCUCUUCUACAAACGAGGAGCCGUCCAUGCACUGGAAGACGUAUUUCCGCCGCUUGCUGCGGGUGGGCUGGCAGCACUGGGGCCCACAGCCCCCAUGACAUUCCAUGAUGGGCACUUUGGAGGCUGUGGCACAUGAUGCAUAACCUUUCUGGCGGCGGAUCACCUCUCGGACUACUUGUCCCAGGCAUGGAUUCUCUGCAGAGGGCAUAAAAGUCAGGGCAUUGGUGGUCUAGGUGGCCAGCAGGACCAUGAGCGGUUCCCAGUGGGAGAAUGUCUGCAGCAAGGCACUUGAGGAAGGGAGCCAUGACCCUUGACAAGCAAGUCGCAGUUUCCGUGUCUGAAAAAUGGUAAGACAUUUAUCCGUCCUUCCAGCAACUCCCAUGCUGUUACAGGCACCAGAGGAGAUUUUGAAGGAGAAAGG
rnacentral:antisense_RNA from 1 species